rnacentral:rRNA from 1 species
AGGGCGAUUUUAGUAGCACGCUCAAGACCCGAAGCGGAGUGAUCUAGCCAUGGGCAGGUUGAAGCGGAGGUAAGACUUCGUGGAGGACCGAACCCACCAGGGUUGAAAACCUGGGGGAUGACCUGUGGUUAGGGGUGAAAGGCCAAUCAAACUCCGUGAUAGCUGGUUCUCCCCGAAAUGCAUUUAGGUGCAGCGUCGUGUGUUUCUUGCCGGAGGUAGAGCACUGGAUAGGCGAUGGGCCCUACCGGGUUACUGACCUUAGCCAAACUCCGAAUGCCGGUAAGUGAGAGCGCGGCAGUGAGACUGUGGGGGAUAAGCUCCAUGGUCGAGAGGGAAACAGCCCAGAGCAUCGACUAAGGCCCCUAAGCGUACGCUAAGUGGGAAAGGAUGUGGAGUCGCACAGACAACCAGGAGGUUGGCUUAGAAGCAGCCACCCUUGAAAGAGUGCGUAAUAGCUCACUGGUCUAGUGAUUCCGCGCCGACAAUGUAGCGGGGCUCAAGCGUACCGCCGAAGUCGUGUCAUUGCAGCAUAUAGCCCCAACGGGUGCUGUGAUGGGUAGGGGAGCGUCGUCUGCCGGGUGAAGCGGCACCGGAAGGUAGUCGUGGACGGUUGACGAGUGAGAAUGCAGGCAUGAGUAGCGAUACAAACGUGAGAAACGUUUGCGCCGAUUGACUAAGGGUUCCUGGGUCAAGCUGAUCUGCCCAGGGUAAGUCGGGACCUAAGGCGAGGCCGACAGGCGUAGUCGAUGGAUAACCGGUUGAUAUUCCGGUACCCGCUGUGAAGCGUCAAACAUCGAGCAUCGUGAUGCUAAGGCCGUGAAGCCGCCCUGAUCUCUUCGGAGUUGAGGGGAGUGGUGGAGCCGCCGAACCAAGCGGUUAGUAGGUGAGUGAUGGGGUGACGCAGGAAGGUAGUCCAUCCCGGGCGGUGGUUGUCCCGGGGUAAGGGUGUAGGCCGCAAGGUAGGCAAAUCCGCCUUGCAUACGGCUGAGACCUGAUGCCGAGCCGAUUGUGGCGAAGUGGAUGAUCCUAUGCUGUCGAGAAAAGCCUCUAGCGAGUUUCAUGGCGGCCCGUACCCUAAACCGACUCAGGUGGUCAGGUAGAGAAUACCGAGGCGUUCGGGUGAACUAUGGUUAAGGAACUCGGCAAAAUGCCCCCGUAACUUCGGGAGAAGGGGGGCCACAUCCGGUGAUGAGCUUCGCGCUCUGAGCUGGGGGUGGCCGCAGAGACCAGCGAGAAGCGACUGUUUACUAAAAACACAGGUCCGUGCGAAGCCGUAAGGCGAUGUAUACGGACUGACGCCUGCCCGGUGCUGGAACGUUAAGGGGACCGGUUAGCUUGGAUUCGUCCAGGCGAAGCUGAGAACUUAAGCGCCAGUAAACGGCGGUGGUAACUAUAACCAUCCUAAGGUAGCGAAAUUCCUUGUCGGGUAAGUUCCGACCUGCACGAAUGGCGUAACGACUUCUCGACUGUCUCAACCAUAGGCCCGGUGAAAUUGCACUACGAGUAAAGAUGCUCGUUUCGCGCAGCAGGACGGAAAGACCCCGGGACCUUUACUACAGUUUGAUAUUGGUGUUCGGUUCGGCUUGUGUAGGAUAGCUGGGAGACUUUGAAGCAGGCACGCCAGUGUUUGUGGAGUCGUCGUUGAAAUACCAGUCUGGUCGUGCUGGAUGUCUAACCUGGGUCCGUGAUCCGGAUCAGGGACAGUGUCUGAUGGGUAGUUUAACUGGGGCGGUUGCCUCCUAAAGGGUAACGGAGGCGCCCAAAGGUUCCCUCAGCCUGGUUGGCAAUCAGGUGUUGAGUGUAAGUGCACAAGGGAGCUUGACUGUGAGACCGACGGGUCGAGCAGGGACGAAAGUCGGGACUAGUGAUCCGGCGGUGGCUUGUGGAAGCGCCGUCGCUCAACGGAUAAAAGGUACCCCGGGGAUAACAGGCUGAUCUUCCCCAAGAGUCCAUAUCGACGGGAUGGUUUGGCACCUCGAUGUCGGCUCGUCGCAUCCUGGGGCUGGAGUCGGUCCCAAGGGUUGGGCUGUUCGCCCAUUAAAGCGGUACGCGAGCUGGGUUUAGAACGUCGUGAGACAGUUCGGUCCCUAUCCGCUGUGCGCGUAGGAGUCUUGAGAAGGGCUGUCCCUAGUACGAGAGGACCGGGACGGACGAACCUCUGGUGUGCCAGUUGUUCUGCCAAGGGCAUGGCUGGUUGGCUACGUUCGGGAGGGAUAACCGCUGAAAGCAUCUAAGCGGGAAGCCUGCUUCGAGAUGAGGACUCCCACCCACUUGAUGGGGUAAGGCUCCCAGUAGACGACUGGGUUGAUAGGCCGGAUCUGGAAGCACGGUAACGUGUGGAGGUGACCGGUACUAAUAGGCCGAGGGCUUGUCCUC